rnacentral:lncRNA from 1 species
GCGAGUUACCGUGAGCACAAACAGAUGGCGCCACAAUCAUCGUCACAGUUCCCUUUCCUUCUAGAAGUUCACCACUCUUAAUGCCUUGAUACGAAUGACGGUGGUGAUGCUGAUGAUGUCGCUUACCAGCCGGAGAACCGCGAUGAGGCGGACGCCGGGGCGCCAAAAGAAUAAGUGGAAAACUCUACCAAAACACUUGCCUUCAGACCGUAGCAGCGACAUGCAGUCGCGGUGGACCAACUAAACAGAAACAGUGUUGCAUAAAACGCAACAGCAAUAACGCCGAAACAAACGCCGCACUAAAACGAUCUGUCUAGAGUAUUGGGCUUCUACAGAAAAUAGCCUGGAUAAUGCUGAAAUUGACCCCUUCAGAAUUUUAGCGGAUGCCUCCCUACAAAAUGUGCACGGAUGGAGAUGGCACCGAAGUAACUUUCUUUUUCUUUCGAAACUUUUCAUACUCAUACCCCCCCCGAUAUGUAAGUUUAGCGAUGUGAGAUACGGCCUAUUAAUUUUUCAAUGGGUAUUGGUUCAAUGAUACAGCUAGCUGUUGUGUUGUCGAUGUCAGCCUGACCAGAGUGGAGUCACUAUAUCGACAAACGAGAUGCCAGAUGAAGGUCGACUAAAGUGAAGUCAGACGACAUCUGGCUGGUAGAGACGGUACUCCGGCAUCCGGUCUCGAGACAAGUCGCAUUGAUGAAAACUGUAGACGGAAAGACGUUUUACGUUGUGAUCGAUAACGGCAGGUGAAACGGUCUAGCUCAAACGCGUCUCUGGCGUGUAAGUUAGUCUUGAAGAGAAAAGAACCUUGUGUAGACAUGUAAAGAUACAGAGUUAGGGCGACGAUUGGCAGACGAAGCAAACUUUGCAUGUUGAUAUUAUCGUUAUUAGUGUACAGUGAGUCUUCUGCAGUGGAUCCCUUCCGUCGAGUGGUUCUCGAAUUGUGUGUUUAUGGAUGAAUGUCGAGGUGAUAUAUCUAUAGAUUAUACAAAGUUCCAUCACUCGUUGAACCUCCUCCGGUUUUGUGUGACGAGGUCCUUGACUCGACUUAUAAUGUGAUCGAAAAAGCCUGCCCUCAACAAGUUAACUGCAAAUGUUGGGUGGCCGAACCAAGAUGACUUCGCCGAUGGACCCACGAUGGUGUUACUACAGCCCUAAAUGCUCGCUGAAUCUUCGAUUAUUGCGAUUCGAUUUUCAUCAUAUUCUUCGGUUGUCAUCCUUCUUCUUCUCUAUCCUAUCUUCAAAAUCAACGUCUAUCAUCACCUACAUUGUCAUAACGUUCUCGCAAUGUUACCGUUCAUGCCUUGCGUCGACAGCUACGAUAGUUUCACGCUAAGCAUAGAACCGCGGUGUCUGGCGCGAGGGAGCAUUCGGGUCAUCCGUUAUGUGUGCACACAGUCUGUACCAAGAAGUACUAACAAAGAAUCAGCAAGGAACUUUAUUUCGAAUUUGAAUUUGCUGCCCCUGACAACUGGAUUCGGUGUGCGCUGAGCGGGUGAAUGGUUGAAGUUGGCUGUGAUGAUCUGCUCGUCCAGCAUUAAAAUCAACUGAUAAACAGACGACGAUUAACAUCAAGUUCUAACUUGAUGCCUACUGUGCCUAGCGUCGUUAGAGAUAAACAAUCGUCUCCGGGAGCAAAUUUCGCUAUGGCGCUUAGAGGUAUAUACAAUCAGACGCGAACCGGCCGUGCAGCUCGUAAAGGCAGAAUCACAUCGAACGAAAUAGAUGUUUCCCUGUGUACACACACUGUGGUUAUUGUGACAAUUUUUUUUUGAGCUAGAUAUAUGAGUGUACGAUUUCUAUCACGUGUUCCGAAUCAGCGCCGCUUUGUACAUUUGUCAGAAUAUAUGAAUUCGCCGUAGAAGUUGGAUGAUGGAUGGAUGGUCCUUCCCGCGAGGUUUGCAAUUAGCCCGUACGGAAAUAACAAAAUCCGUUCUGAUCUUUUUCGUAAUGAAAAAGCAGCAAAAAACAGCGUUAAACAGGAGCCGUUAAAAUACGCAGAACUUCGAACAAAAUGGCUUUAGAGACCUUAUGCUUUACUAUCUAUAGACAUACGUACCGUGUGAUUCAAUUCUGUUCAAAAUAACAUCUGUUAUUGGGCAGAAUCAAAUCUGUAAUCUUGGACGUCCGCAGCGUAACGUGCAGUUGACCAAGCGAGCGCUCAUUAUACCUAUAUUAUAUACGUAUAAAUACCUAUAUAUACGCAUAGAGAUAUGAAACAAUUUUACUGUCGUCAAUUGUCAGCUUUUUGCCUAUCUACCGAAAUGGUGUGAAUUUGAAUGAAAACGAUGUGAUGCAGCCUUUUAAUCAAGCACAAUAUUAGGGCGCUUGAAUAGUUGCGAUAACAUUGUACAUGUGUACUAAUCGCCGUAAGGGUGUGCUUGACUCCGAUGCCACGCUGACUGUGUGUGCACACACAACAAUAAUACAUAUAGUUAAAUAGUUUGAGACGUACGCGUUUGUUACUAGGGAAAGCAAUAAACGCGUGUUUACUCAAAAGGGAAAAAGAGACAGUACAAAAAAGACAGAACUAAACAAUUUUUCGUCCGCCCCACGUUUAGUCGUAGCUUGCUUGAUGCUAGAGUUGUUUUUGCCAGUUCGGUAAGCCACCCCGCGGCAAGCCUAAAAUUUGUUUGGUGAGGCAAAACAUCAAUAGACAUUUACACAACAAACAGAAGCAAGUAACAGCAAAAAUUAAAUUAAAAAAAAAAAAAUACCUCGGCUAUCUCUAGCUAGCUUAGGUACUGGGUCGAUGUGCUUCAGCUUAUCCAUUCGUACAAUGUAUAUAUUGUAUCUUGAAACUAGCAUUAAAGGAAGUCAACUAUAAUUCUGUUAUAUCACAUCACAUUCAUAGCUAAAAUGACAAUGAUAAAGAACUUCACAAUAAGAUAAACAAAUCAAUUAGGAUGAAAAGAAUCGAAGCUUCAGAGGGUAGAGCCAUAUUGCUGCGCGUCAUAAUUUUCGUGUUUACACUACAACACGUACA